AUGAAUGUGGCUGUUUAUAAGGGGAACAUAAAGGAGCAUGCUCCUUUUCGCGGCAACAAUAGAUACAUGUUUGGGGUUUGUUCAAGGUUUGAGCAUUGUGCUGUAGUAUUACUCUUCAAACUUUGUAAAAGAAUAGAGUGCACACUUAGAUGCAGAUUGGUUAGAAACUAUCAGACAUUUUACCCAAGCUAUAAUUUUUUGAAAAUUUAUAUGCAGGGUAGGCUUUCUUUGUUUUUAAUUGUUAUAUUGUACCCUGAAAAUUGUAGACAUAGAUUCACAGAAGUACUUUAUCUAUCUAGUCAAAUCAUUAUUUUGUUGUCAGCAAAAAUAUACGCUUAA